rnacentral:rRNA from 1 species
AGUGGAUGGGGAGCAACCUAGUUGUGCGUGUGUAAAGGUAGUGCCAAGAAAAGCGAUGAUCAUGUUGAAAAUCAAUUCCCGGUACCCGAAACCGACACAGGUGGGCAAGUAGAGAAUACUAAGGGGCGCGAGGUAACUCUCUCCAAGGAACUCGGCAAAAUGACCCCGUAACUUAGGGAGGAGGGGUGCCACCGAGAGGUGGUCGCAGUGAAGAGGCCCAGGCGACUGUUUAGCAAAAACAUAGGUCUCUGCAAACUCGAAAGAGGAGGUAUAGGGGCUGACGCCUGCCCAGUGCCGGAAGGUUAAAGAAGUUGGUCAGUUUUAGGAUGAAGCUAGCGACUGAAGCCCCGGUGAACGGCGGCCGUAACUAUAACGGUCCUAAGGUAGCGAAAUUUCUUGUCGGGUAAGUUCCGACCCGCACGAAAGGCGUAGCGAUCUGGGCGCUGUCUCGGAGAGAGGCUCGGCGAAAUAGGAUUGUCUGUGAAGAUACGGACUACCUGCAUUUGGACAGAAAGACCCUAUGAAGCUUUACUAUAGCUUGGAAUUGUGUUCGGGCUUCCUGUGCGCAGGAUAGGUGGGAGGCGUAGAAGGUAUUCUUGUGGGGAUACUGGAGCCAACGGUGAGAUACCACUCUCAGGAGGCUAGAAUUCUAACUUAAUUAAGGACAGUUUCAGGUGGGUAGUUUGACUGGGGCGGUCGCCUCCAAAAAGGUAACGGAGGCGUACAAAGGUUCCCUCAGACUGGUUGGAAAUCAGUCGAAGAGUGCAAAGGCAGAAGGGAGCUUGACUGCGAGAAGUACAGUUCGAGCAGGGUGGAAACACGGUCUUAGUGAUCCGACGGUGCUGUGUGGAAGGGCCGUCGCUCAACGGAUAAAAGUUACUCUAGGAUAACAGGCUGAUCUCCCCCAAGAGUUCACAUCGACGGGGAGGUUUGGCACCUCGAUGUCGGCUCAUCGCAACCUGGGGCGGAAGUACGUCCCAAGGGUUGGGCUGUUCGCCCAUUAAAGCGGUACGUGAGCUGGGUUCAGAACGUCGUGAGACAGUUCGGUCCAUAUCCGAUGUAGGCGUGAGAAUAUUGAGAGGAGCCUUCCUUAGUACGAGAGGACCGGGAAGGACGCACCGCUGGUGUACCUGUUAUGAUGCCAAUUGUAAACGCAGGGUAGCCAAGUGCGGAGAGGAUAACCGCUGAAAGCAUCUAAGUGGGAAGCCCACCUCAAGAUGAGUAUUCUGGUGUAAGGUCACGGGAAGACGACCCGUAAAUAGGCACGAGGUGGAAGUGCAGAGAUGUAUGAAGCCGAAGUGUACUAAUAGACCGUCGGCUUGACC